rnacentral:rRNA from 1 species
UACGUAGGGGGCGAGCGUUGUCCGGAUUUAUUGGGCGUAAAGGGCGUGUAGGCGGCUCUUUAAGUCAGAGGUGAAAACCUGGGGCUCAACCCCGGGCGUGCCUCUGAAACUGGGGAGCUUGAGUGCUCUAGAGGGCAGUGGAAUUGCCGGUGUAGCAGUGAAAUGCGUAGAGAUCGGCAGGAACACCAGUGGCGAAGGCGACUGUCUGGGGAGUAACUGACGCUGAGGCGCGAAAGCUGGGGGAGCAAACGGG